UACGUAGGGUGCAAGCGUUAAUCGGAAUUACUGGGCGUAAAGCGUGCGCAGGCGGUUUUGUAAGUCUGUCGUGAAAUCCCCGGGCUCAACCUGGGAAUUGCGAUGGAGACUGCAAGGCUAGGAUCUGGCAGAGGGGGGUAGAAUUCCACGUGUAGCAGUGAAAUGCGUAGAGAUGUGGAGGAACACCGAUGGCGAAGGCAGCCCCCUGGGUCAAGAUUGACGCUCAUGCACGAAAGCGUGGGGAGCAAACAGGAUUAGAGUACCC
rnacentral:rRNA from 1 species